rnacentral:rRNA from 1 species
AUGCUCACCUACCCCAGCGAUCAUCGGGGUUAUCCUCCGCAGCACGUGGCGGUAUCCCCCUUCUCUACCGCCGCCGCCCCCUUCACCGUGGACGGGCUCCAUCCCGCGGACCAAACAUUCCCCAGCCCUAGCCUCGAUGCCCCCGGCGUCACUUCCCUCUACGCGACGGGCGAGUGGGGGAAUGCGUCGUGGAUGGAAGCCCCCGUGAGAUACAUGGCCCCGGACGCCGCCGCUUCCGCCUCACCAGGGUAUACUGGACAUUAUCAUCUGAAUAAGGAUCUUUCAGGCCCUGCGACAAGCCCCAUUGAUGUUGCUCCUUCAUUUCCUGUUAAGAGUCUGACAAGUGAAAUCACAGUUGGAAAUAUUUCCUGUCGAGCAGCAGAGGCAGAGAAAAAUGCAAACACUCAAAUACUUACAAAAGAAGGUCAAGAACACUCUCACUGCCAUCCAGAUGCUGAGGAGAACUUGUUGCAGAUGUCUGACUCUAGCUCUAGGAAUCAGGCCACAUUCCUGAAGCUAAUACACAAUUUGUCAGUAGUGCUUCUGUCUACUUGCAAUGGUGGUUCUUCGUUACAGGAAUAUGAAGAGAAGAUUCUGAAAUCUGUUAUUCGAAAUCUUAAAGCUGCUUCUUCCAAAGGAGGCAAGGCUACAUUAAAAAGCGAUGAUUGUUUGAGGGACUCCGUUCAAAUCAGUUGCUUGAGAAACAAUUUGUUGGUGGCAAUGCCUGAACACUCAGUGUCAGAGAGCACAGAUUCAGAAUUUAAGACAUCUAUUUCACAGGCUCUUUCUAAGCUCCCAGAGGGUAAUAUGCUCGAUGAUACUGAAGUUUCUCAAGUGUCAAUUUACAAAAAAUUAUGGUUUGAAGCAGAAGCUUCGGUGUGUAAACUCAAAUAUGAGCUUCAACGUUCCCGUAUGAAGCUUGCAACAAUGGAAGUUUUCAGCAACACGCAAACAGUUCCAAUUGACCCGUCAGAAAGUGAAAAAGCCUCCAGAGUAACCAUAUCUGAUGGCCAACCACGUAAUCAUGCCAAAUAUUGCAGUUCAUGUGCUGCGACCUUGCAAUGUCAUGGAGGAGGUAGUGAGAGCAGUCAAUCUUCUUCUCUGAUAAAUAGAGUGACAACUCAACAUUCCACUUAUGUUUUAGCUGCUCAAGUCCCGGCUGCUUCCCCAGUGCCUCCGCCGCCUGCAUUGGUGUCACAGCCUUACACGGCCGCGCCCGACAAUCCUUCAGAACCAUACUGUGGUUACUGUCAUAAGUUGGGGCUCACCCCUCAUCCAUGCUACAAGAAGAAUGAUCAAGGAGACAAUAUUUUUAGUGGCGCCUCUUCUCUGCCAGGUCCAUGCCAGAGCUCCUCCACCGGCCAGGAGCUUCUCACUCAACCACCACCACCUCCUCCUUCAGAUAUAUCAUCUCCAGGGUCCAUUAUUGCUACAAAUAAGAGCAUCGUAAAUGGUCUUGAUGCUGAAAUAUUUGCUCAAAUGAAAGUUCUGGAAUCCCGUAUUGAUAAUAUAAGCUCUUUGGGUGAGAGUAAGUGUGAGAGGCAGCAAGAACCUAGCAAGGGAUCAUACCCCGUUGAAGAUGAUGUUUUGGCGAGGCUGAGAAUUUUGAAGUCCCGCCCUGAUUACAUAACCUCGUUGGGUUUGGAAAGCAGCAACCAUCAGCUAGACACAAGUAUACAUGCAUCAGAUGAGGUUCAUGAAAUGUUUGCUCGAUUGAAAGUUUUGGAGUCCCGCAUUGACAAAAUAAGCCCUUUGGGUGACAACAAGUGUGAACAGCAGGAAAAAGGAAGUGAGGGAUUAUAUCCAGUCGAAGAUGCUGUUUUGGCGAGGCUACAAAUUUUGAAGUCCUGUGCUGAUAAUACUUCUCUGGGUCUGGAAAGCAACAAACAGCAGCUAAAUGCAAGCACGGACAUAUCAGAUGAGGUUGAAGAUGUUAUUAUGGCCAGGCUGGAAAUUUUGAAGUCCCAUCCAGAUGUGGAGGCAUCCUCCAUUGAGGCUGUUGAAGGUGUGGAGCACCCUUGUGCUGUGGGGCUGCGAGUCUCUAGUCACCAGUUACUUCCAUCGCCUGCUGCAGUGUUCGAGAAAACAACAUUGCUAUCGGCUACCGAACCACUAGAGGUCACUGGAGAGACUCCAGCCAUCCUGAUCUCGUCGUCUAACAAAGCACCACCUUUGUGUAGACUUAAAGAUGCACCUUCAGUGAUGGAGAAAGAUCAUUCAGGGUUGGCAGAGGAAGCUCUGCAUUCUGCGCCGUUGUUAAGUGUGCCCCAAGAAGCCGGGGGCUUGGCACAAAAGACUGCAAAAGCUAAGCGCCAUCCGCACGGGCCUACGCCAAGAAGAUUUCGUCUUCCUUCCACCGUCAAAAUAAAGUGUCCCAUCUCAGAGUAG